rnacentral:tRNA from 1 species
UCCCUGGUGGCUCAGUGGGUUAAGGACCCAGCAUUGUCACUGCUGUUGCUCAGGUUCAAUCCCUGGCCCGGGGA